AUCGUUUUACUGAAGAUGAGGUUGAUGAAAUGUUUCGUGAGGCACCUUUAAAGAAUGGAAUGUUCGAUUACGUAGAAUUUACAAGAAUCCUCAAACACGGCAAAAAAGAGGAAGCAUAAAACGUGGGCACAUGCUGCGCAACAUUCCUGAUUCUCCACAUAGCGCGUGCGGGACCAAUUCAGGCCGGAACCAGUGGAGACAUUUAGUAAACACUUGUUGACGGGGACCAAACCUUUAUAUACACUUUAUGUUAUUAUAUUUAUACAUUAAACAUAACCUUUG
rnacentral:misc_RNA from 1 species